rnacentral:rRNA from 1 species
UGCCAGCCGCCGCGGUAAUACGUACCGGACAAACGUUAUUCGGAAUCACUGGGCUUAAAGAGUACGUAGGCGGUCUUGUAGGUGAGGUGUGAAAUCCCACGGCCUAACCGUGGAAUUGCACUUCAAACCCCAAGACUUGAGGGAGACAGGGGUGAGCGGAACUGAUGGUGGAGCGGUGAAAUGCGUUGAUAUCAUCAGGAACACCGGUGGCGAAGGCGGCUCACUGGGUCUCUUCUGACGCUAAGGUACGAAAGCUAGGGUAGCGAACGGGAUUAGAUA